rnacentral:rRNA from 1 species
ACGAACGCUGGCGGCGUGCCUAACACAUGCAAGUCGAACGAGAAAGCCCGCAAGAGUGAGUAGAGUGGCAGACGGGUGAGUAAUGAAUAGGAACAUACCUUUUGGUGGGGGAUAACUACGGGAAACUGUGGCUAAUACCGCAUAAGAUCGCAAGAUGAAAGGGGGCUCGGGGCAACUCGGCUCUCACCGAUAGAGUGGCCUAUUUUCCCAUUAGCUAGUUGGUAAGGUAAAGGCUUACCAAGGGCGACGAUGGGUAGCUGGUCUGAGAGGACGAUCAGCCACACUGGAACUGAGAUACGGUCCAGACUCCUACGGGAGGCAGCAGUGGGGAAUCUUGCACAAUGGACGAAAGUCUGAUGCAGCAACGCCGCGUGAGUGAAGAAGGCCUUUGGGUUGUAAAGCUCUUUCGGUUGGGGAGAAGGGGAGCUAGGCUAAUACCCUAGUUUUCUGACGGUACCAGCAGAAGAAGCACCGGCUAAUCUCGUGCCAGCAGCCGCGGUAAUAUGAGAGGUGCAAGCGUUGUUCGGAAUGAUUGGGCGUAAAGCGCACGUAGGCGGGUUUGUAAGUCAGUUGUGAAAGCCCUGGGCUUAACCUGGGAAUGGCAUCUGAAACUGCAAAUCUUGAAUAUCUCAGAGGUUGGUGGAAUUCUUGGUGUAGGAGUGAAAUCCGUAGAUAUCAAGAGGAACAUCGGAGGCGAAGGCGGCCAACUGGGAGAAUAUUGACGCUGAGGUGCGAAAGGCGUGGGGAGCAAACAGGAUUAGAUACCCUGGUAGUCCACGCUUGUAAACUAUGGAUACUAGGUGUUUGGGGAGUUAACCCCCUGAGUACUACAGCUAACGCGUUAAGUAUCCCGCCUGGGGAGUACAGUCGCAAGGCCGAAACUCAAAGGAAUUGACGGGGGGCCCGCACAAGCGGUGGAGUAUGUGGUUUAAUUCGAAGCAACGCGCAGAACCUUACCUACCCUUAACAUCCCGUGCUAGUGGCAGAGAUGUCAUGUUCUCUUCGGAGACGCGGAGAUAGGUGCUGCAUGGCUGUCGUCAGCUCGUGUCGUAGGAUGUCUGGUUAAGUCCAAUAACGAGCGCAACCCUUGUUCUUAGUUGCCAGCAUUAAGUUGGGCACUCUAAGGAGACUGCCGGUGUUAAAACCGGAGGAAGGCGGGGAUGACGUCAAGUCCUCAUGGCCCUUACGGGUAGGGCUACACACGUACUACAAUGGCAGAGACAGACCGUUGCGAAGCCGCGAGGUGGAGCUAAUCGGUAAAACACUGCCUCAGUUCAGAUUGCAGUCUGCAAUUCGACUGCAUGAAGUUGGAAUCGCUAGUAAUCGCUGAUCAGCAAGCAGCGGUGAAUACGUUUCCCGGGCCUUGUACACACCGCCCGUCACACCACGAGAGUGGUUUAUAACCAGAAGUAGCCGAGCUAAACCGCAAGGGGGCAAGCUACCAAGGUUGUAGCCGUGAUUGGGGUG